GAUGAACGCUCGCGGGAGGCCUAACACAUGCAAGCCGAGCGGUAUUGUUUCUUCGGCAAUGAGAGAGCGGCGUACGGGUGCGUAACACGUGUGCAACCUGCCUUUAUCUGGGGGAUAGCCUUUCGAAAGGAAGAUUAAUACUCCAUAAUAUAUUGAACGGCAUCGUUUAAUAUUGAAAGCUCCGGCGGAUAGAGAUGGGCACGCGCAAGAUUAGCUAGUUGGUGAGGUAACGGCUCACCAAGGCGAUGAUCUUUAGGGGGCCUGAGAGGGUGAUCCCCCACACUGGUACUGAGACACGGACUAGACUCCUACGGGAGGCAGCAGUGAGGAAUAUUGGUCAAUGGGUGCAAGCCUGAACCAGCCAUCCCGCGUGAAGGACGACUGCCCUAUGGGUUGUAAACUUCUUUUGUAUAGGGAUAAACCUACCCUCGGGAGGGUAGCUGAAGGUACUAUACGAAUAAGCACCGGCUAACUCCGUG
rnacentral:rRNA from 1 species